rnacentral:lncRNA from 1 species
GUUGCGGUGGGGUAACACCUUCCUUAGUAUGAAAAUAAAAUCCUCCUGCUUCCGAAGUUUGAACACUAUCCACCAGUGCAUACGGUUAGGACCAUUAAUAAGUGGUAAUGCAGUGACUCUCAGAUCCACUUGUUGACACAGGGACCCUCUCUGAACCAUUCUCCUAUUCAGUGCCCUUCGGUGGCAUGGAGAAUAACAUAGACACUUAGGUGGUUGCCACUGCCAGUGGCCAGCACCGGCUCACUGAUGUGCCAAUCCAGUCGUGGACAAAGAGGCAGAGAACAAGCGACAGGAGUGUGGCCUUGUUUUGCAUUUAAGUAUGUUUAUCAUCUUGGUAUUCAACUUUUUCUUGUAAUAGCAAAUAACAGUGAGAUUUUCCUGUAAGGAUUUGAAAUCCUGGCAUGGAAAGCUUUAGACCUACCCUUGAAGAGACGAAUCCAUGCUGAUAAGAAGUGAGCUAUAAGCUGUGGAUACCAUGUCUCAAGUAUUUAAAGAUAAAGUGAUAAACAUGCAGAUGGGCCCAUUAAUGAACAUUAAUUGCUUUAAAUUAGGUUUUAUUGUGCAGUAGGUAAAUUGGAAAGUACACAUUUGCAUUGGUAAUAGAAAAUUAAUUUAAAUGCUCCAGGAAGCAAAAUAUCACCUGAUGUGCUAAAACCUGUUAUUUGUGGUGCUUUCUGAAGGAAACUUGAAGGGCACUGUGUAUGAAAAUAAAAUAUUUAUGCCAGAGGCCCACAAAUGUGUGACCACCUUCUCUGGUGAGAACCCCAUGCCGACACUGAUUGGCACUGGCUAAGUCCCAGAUGGUGCCAGGUUUAAUGCUAUGUAACCGAAGGAUGGUAGUGAUAGGAUGGGGCAUUAUAAAUCUCAGUUAUAUGGACCCUGGGGAGGUAAUUAGAUGCUUCCCCCCUCUCCCUAGAGUGCUUGCCUUGACAUGUUCCAGAGCAGACUGUUGAUGACUUGGGUCUUAUAAGUACUCGGAGAAAAGAUGUCACCGCUCCCUCCUCAGUGGCUCAUCUAUCCAGGGACUAUCUGAGCCCACACAGAAGAACUUCUUGCCUCCCCUAGUCUCUGUAGUGAUGGCAUACACCCCCAUUUUCAUCUUUAACUUCUGAGGAGUUGGUAAUCAGAGAAUGAGGCACAAUUGGAUGGUUAUUUUAUAUUCUUGAUUUCUACUUAUUCUUGGAUAGAAAUAACCUUUUCUUCUCUUUAGUGGCUUUUCCUAUUAAUUUUGUAUUCCUAUCAUCUUUGGCUCUGAAUCCUGCUAGGAAAAAGAUAGUGUUUAAAAAUAGCAAAAACUCUAAUAAGAGAGAUGUGUAAUAAAGACAGUCCGUCCUAAGGCAAAACGUAGUAAGACAGGAUCAUCAGGACCGCUUGAUUGACUCCGACAGUUCAGCCUCCUUUUCUGAAAGCAAGAAAGAAGAGGAUUUGUGAGGAAGAGGAUGAAGCUGGAGCUUAAUUAGGUCCAUGCUCUCCAACAUGGAUUCCAGAGAAGGAGAUGCCGGAAGAUGCUGGGCAUUUACAUCUGAGAGUCAUCAUCAACUCAUGGGCUAUUUUUAACGCCGUGAUGAGCUCACCUAAGGAAUAUAAUACAGAAAGAGCCUGGGGCUACUUGGGCAUUUAGCAAUCUGAAAGAGGAAAAGUCAGCAG